rnacentral:lncRNA from 1 species
UCUUCCUUGAAAAGAAAGAGAGUGCAGAAAAAUUCAUCCGAAUUAGCCUAGCUUUGUCCUUAAAUGAAGAGUAACGGAUUAACUUUGCUUUGGUUUAGAUAAGCACCAAAAGAAAUAGUCACUGUCUCCAGGAAUUAUUCACACACCUUCAACAAUGUAGUCUAGAAGUCCCAUUCUCUCCUGGCCAUAUACAGCAAUAGAAACUCACUUCCUGUUUUCUCAAGCCAGAUUCCCCUAUCAAUUCAAUUCUUCCCAAGAAGACUCUCACUGAUUUCUCAAUUCUCAAUGUAGUCAGCAAGAAAAUUGGUCCUGGAAAAAAUAUUUGACUUUCUGCAUAGAAAAUAAUGGUCUCUUUAAGAUUGCAAGCCCACUGUGGAGGAAUUUUGGCUUAUUUUAUGUUUUGUACCCUGAUGAAGCACAGGAAAUAGGAAAAUAGAGUAUUUUUCUUGGCAAACCUGGGGUAUGUUUGGUUUAGCAAUUGGACAAUUUUUAGUUUAAACUGGGCAGCAAACAUGAAGCCACUCUCAAAACUGUGUGUCAGGUUCUCAAGCAUAAUUAGGAAAUUAUAUAAAUAGGAAAAUUCAUCAUCACUAACGGUUUUUUCUGAAAUCUAUAUGAUAGAAGUGCACAGGAAGUAAAAUAUGUUGGGUUUUUUCUUUUUUCUCUUUUUUGUGAUUGAUUUUGUCAUAAGAAGGCUUAGAACCUCAAAGAAACUUGAGAGAUGGCGAGGUCCACAGUGAACCCAAAGAACAGCACUCGUUAGCUAACUAGAAGCUGGUAUCUUGCUCGCGUUGGUGCCAUACCACUCAGCAUUGAAGAUAUAUAAGAAUAGUGUAAAA